UGUAACCGGCCAUAGUUGGUUAAAGGGCCUGUCUAGUAAACAGGAGGUCCUGGGUUCAAAUCCCAGCAG
rnacentral:tRNA from 1 species